rnacentral:rRNA from 1 species
ACGAACGCUGGCGGCGUGCUUAACACAUGCAAGUCGAACGGAAAGGCCCUGCUUGCCGGGUACUCGAGUGGCGAACGGGUGAGUAACACGUGGGUGAUCUGCCCUGCACUUCGGGAUAAGCCUGGGAAACUGGGUCUAAUACCGGAUAGGAGCCAUUUUUAGUGUGAUGGUUGGAAAGUUUUUUCGGUGUAGGAUGAGCUCGCGGCCUAUCAGCUUGUUGGUGGGGUAAUGGCCUGCCAAGGCGGCGACGGGUAGCCGGCCUGAGAGGGUGGACGGCCACAUUGGGACUGAGAUACGGCCCAGACUCCUACGGGAGGCAGCAGUGGGGAAUAUUGCACAAUGGGCGCAAGCCUGAUGCAGCGACGCCGCGUGGGGGAUGACGGCCUUCGGGUUGUAAACUCCUUUCGCUAGGGACGAAGCUUUUUGUGACGGUACCUAGAUAAGAAGCACCGGCUAACUACGUG